rnacentral:lncRNA from 1 species
GGAGAACGGAACCUGAUGCCUCCUGGGCCAGUUCAAAUGGUCUCCCUGAGAAUUUGGACUUCUCAAAGAGAAAGUUAUCUGUGUGUAUGGACUAAAACACACAGCACUUUGGAAAUGAUGGCAGUCAGAUUCUGCCACUGAGGAGAGGAGGAAGUCCAUCUGAGCAUCUCUCAGAAGUGCAGGUCAUCAGCAAUUCGUAGAGCAGCUCUAACCACAAUCAAGCUCGCAAGGACACUCAUGAGAAGUUUUUCUAUUUGAGAAACACAAACAGCUCCAUCGAUCUUACUAACACCCUAGAGUAAUUGUUGGCCCCAGGCUUGGAGCAGGAGCUUGGGUAAUCAUGGGAGAUGCGAAGCAGUGAGUGCGACAGUGCCAACGAAGUGCUUAAUCCAUGCAGGCUGGGAGAAGCAGAAGGAGAUGUUGCUCAUCCAGUUCCACCUUGUUCGUUUCAUGUCCCGUGCUGUUGCCCAGCUGGGAUCCUUGAGGACAAACACAUCACUGUGUCCUGGCCCCUCCCCAGGGCUGUGCAUGCACUCGCCAGUGAAGCAAGAGGUGAGUAAAUACCUGACGGCGUGAAGGGAUCAAUGAGAUCUGAGAUCACUUGUAACCCAGCUCUCUGUGAUUUAAAGGCAACAGGAUACCUGUUCUGAAGCAAGGUUAACAAGAAUCCAUUUUAGAAGUAGGAUGCUUUUUACAAAGUUGAGACCUGUGCCAAUCUAAACCUAAGCUAUUUUGGCUGUAUUAUUCUUGUUUCUUUAAAAAAGAAAUCCAUUCAAAUGUAGGUGCCAUGUAGUAGAAAAAGUGCUGCCUGGGGAGGGUUAAUUUUAACAUCCGUUUUGUUUCUAAUCUCUGGUGUAACUUUAGUCAAGUCCCCUUUUUUGAGUCCAAUUUCUUCAACCCGAAGGUAAUAAGAUCUGUUCCACAGGGUUGUUGGGAGGGGUUAAAAUGUGAUAAUGGAUAUGAAAGUGCUUUGCAACUGAAAAGAACUCCACCUAUAAAAGGGGUUUUUAAUAUCAUUAUCAUUAUUGUUAUUUUAGAAGUCAUUUCCAUGGAAUGCAAAUGCAGUCUCUGGAGCUCCUUUGAGCCUCUAAGUGUACAGAUUGUAUUUAGAAGUUUAUAUCCUGCCCAAUAUGGGAUUGAACAACAGCCAACUAAUGCUAAUAGCCCUUAGUUACAGAAUGCCUGCCCUCUGAGCUCAAGAGCUGUGAAAAGCUGGAGCCAUCAUUCCUCAAUCAAUUUCCAUUGUCAUUCAUUCAACAAAUGUUUUCUGUAUGUCUGCUGUGUGUCAGGCACUACUUUUGACAGUGGGUGGGUGGCUGAUACUGUUGAUGUCUUAUUACAUUGGAGGAGAUUGCAGAUCCAUAGAAGACAAGGGACUUCUACAAGCCAUGUGCAAGAUAGGGUGGGGCCCCUGGGGUGCAGCUCAGAGAUUAGGGUAGGGUAGUGCCAACAUCAUGCAAAGAAGAAUUGUCUCGGGAACUGAAGCUGGGCACUCCUGGUUUGAGUCACGUCUUCAUCUACAGCAAAGUGUGCCUUUGCCUUAUUUGCCCAUAAUGAGAAAUGAUGUCAGUGGCUAAAGGCACACUGUCCCAGAGCUGCCUCCUGCAGAGCCCUGCUCGGGCUGAGACACAUUUCACACAGUUGCAGUUUCACUUUUAUCCUCCAGAGAGAACAGG